rnacentral:lncRNA from 1 species
GCAGAACCACCACACACACCGACGCACUCUCACUCUCCUGCCGCGGUGCGCCGUACCUGCUCUCUAGACAAGAUGUCGUCAGUCAGUGCCCGCGCUCCCGUGGCCGCUCUCCGGCCAGCGGCGUCAGCGUCGAGCCCCCGGUUCCUGGGCGACUCCGGCCGCGUCGGCCUCGCCAAGUCCACACGCCGCGACGUCGCCGUCCAGGCCAAGGGGUCGUGGCUCCCCGGCCUCCCCUCCCCUGCCUACCUCGACGGCAGGUGGGAACAUAACAAUAACACAUGAUGCGCUUCAUGCAAGAUGCAGCGCACAUACUUGUAUGCUAAUACUCUUUGUUGGAUGGAUCGUUCAGCUUGGCGGGUGACAAUGGUUUCGACCCGCUGGCGCUGGCGGAGGACCCGGAGGACCUGCGGUGGUUCGUGCAGGCGGAGCUGGUGAACGGGCGGUGGGCGAUGCUGGGGGUGGCGGGGAUGCUGAUCCCGGAGGUGCUGACCAAGGCGGGGCUCCUGAACGCGCCCGAGUGGUACGACGCCGGCAAGGAGACCUACUUCGCCUCCUCCUCCACGCUGUUCGUCAUCGAGUUCAUCCUCUUCCACUACGUCGAGAUCCGGCGGUGGCAGGACAUCAAGAACCCGGGCUCCGUCAACCAGGACCCCAUCUUCAAGAGCUACAGCCUCCCGCCCCACGAGUGCGGCUACCCCGGCAGCGUCUUCAACCCCCUCAACUUCGCCCCCACCCUCGAGAACAAGGAGAAGGAGCUCGCCAACGGUACCUCCAUAGUCUCUCUUCUUCUUCUUCUUUUUUCAAAUAUCCAGCUAGAUGGCUGGCUUCUAUUUCAUGAUCCAUCGUCUCUUCUGGACCCUCGGUUCCUAAUCGGACGGCUCUUGUUAAUUUUUGGAUUUUUUUUUCAUUCAUUCAUUCAGGUAGAC